rnacentral:rRNA from 1 species
GACGAACGCUGGCGGCGUGCUUAACACAUGCAAGUCGAACGAAGAGCGAUGGAAGCUUGCUUCUCUCAAUCUUAGUGGCGAACGGGUGAGUAACGCGUAAUCAACCUGCCCUUCAGAGGGGGACAACAGUUGGAAACGACUGCUAAUACCGCAUACGAUCUAAUCUCGGCAUCGAGGAUAGAUGAAAGGUGGCCUCUACAUGUAAGCUAUCACUGAAGGAGGGGAUUGCGUCUGAUUAGCUAGUUGGAGGGGUAACGGCCCACCAAGGCGAUGAUCAGUAGCCGGUCUGAGAGGAUGAACGGCCAAAUUGGGACUGAGACACGGCCCAGACUCCUACGGGAGGCAGCAGCGGGGAAUCUUCCGCAAUGGACGAAAGUCUGACGGAGCAACGCCGCGUGAGUGAUGACGGCCUUCGGGUUGUAAAGCUCUGUUAAUCGGGACGAAAGGCCUUCUUGCGAAUAGUGAGAAGGAUUGACGGUACCGGAAUAGAAAGCCACGGCUAACUACGUG